UUGAGACUUCGGUGGAUUUGAUCUAUUUCUAGUGGCGGACGGGUGAGUAACGCGUGGGUAACCUGCCUUAUACAGGGGGAUAACAGUCAGAAAUGGCUGCUAAUACCGCAUAAGCGCACAGAGCUGCAUGGCUCAGUGUGAAAAACUCCGGUGGUAUAAGAUGGACCCGCGUUGGAUUAGCUAGUUGGUGGGGUAACGGCCCACCAAGGCGACGAUCCAUAGCCGGCCUGAGAGGGUGAACGGCCACAUUGGGACUGAGACACGGCCCAGACUCCUACGGGAGGCAGCAGUGGGGAAUAUUGCACAAUGGGGGAAACCCUGAUGCAGCGACGCCGCGUGAAGGAAGAAGUAUCUCGGUAUGUAAACUUCUAUCAGCAGGGAAGAUAGUGACGGUACCUGACUAAGAAGCCCCGGCUAACUACGUGCCAGCAGCCGCGGUAAUACGUAGGGGGCAAGCGUUAUCCGGAUUUACUGGGUGUAAAGGGAGCGUAGACGGUGUGGCAAGUCUGAUGUGAAAGGCAUGGGCUCAACCUGUGGACUGCAUUGGAAACUGUCAUACUUGAGUGCCGGAGGGGUAAGCGGAAUUCCUAGUGUAGCGGUGAAAUGCGUAGAUAUUAGGAGGAACACCAGUGGC
rnacentral:rRNA from 1 species